CUCUAAUCCUUAUGGCAGCGGCAUCCUGUAUGGUAGGGGGUAACCACAAAAGAUACAGUGGACAAUAAGUAAAAAAU
rnacentral:misc_RNA from 1 species